ACGGGUGAGUAAUGCCUAGGAAUCUGCCUGGUAGUGGGGGAUAACGCUCGGAAACGGACGCUAAUACCGCAUACGUCCUACGGGAGAAAGCAGGGGACCUUCGGGCCUUGCGCCAUCAGAUGAGCCUAGGUCGGAUUAGCUAGUUGGUGGGGUAAUGGCUCACCAAGGCGACGAUCCGUAACUGGUCUGAGAGGAUGAUCAGUCACACUGGAACUGAGACACGGUCCAGACUCCUACGGGAGGCAGCAGUGGGGAAUAUUGGACAAUGGGCGAAAGCCUGAUCCAGCCAUGCCGCGUGUGUGAAGAAGGUCUUCGGAUUGUAAAGCACUUUAAGUUGGGAGGAAGGGCAUUAACCUAAUACGUUAGUGUUUUGACGUUACCGACAGAAUAAGCACCGGCUAACUCUGUGCCAGCAGCCGCGGUAAUACAGAGGGUGCAAGCGUUAAUCGGAAUUACUGGGCGUAAAGCGCGCGUAGGUGGUUCGUUAAGUUGGAUGUGAAAUCCCCGGGCUCAACCUGGGAACUGCAUUCAAAACUGUCGAGCUAGAGUAUGGUAGAGGGUGGUGGAAUUUCCUGUGUAGCGGUG
rnacentral:rRNA from 1 species